GACGAACCGUGCGAACGUUAUUCGGAAUCAUUGGGCGUAAAGAGCGUGUAGGCGGUCCGGUAAGUCCGCUGUGAAAGUCGGGGGCUCAACCCUCGAAUGCCGGUGGAUACUGUCGGGCUAGAGUGCGGAAGAGGCGAGUGGAAUUCCUGGUGUAGCGGUGAAAUGCGCAGAUAUCAGGAGGAACACCUAUUGCGAAGGCAGCUCGCUGGGACGUAACUGACGCUGAGACGCGAAAGCGUGGGAGCAAACAGG
rnacentral:rRNA from 1 species